rnacentral:rRNA from 1 species
UACGUAGGGUCCGAGCGUUGUCCAGAAUUACUGGGCGUAAAGAGCUCGUAGGUGGUUUGUCGCGUUGUUCGUGAAAACUCACAGCUUAACUGUGGGCGUGCGGGCGAUACGGGCAGACUUGAGUACUGCAGGGGAGACUGGAAUUCCUGGUGUAGCGGUGAAAUGCGCAGAUAUCAGGAGGAACACCGGUGGCGAAGGCGGGUCUCUGGGCCGAUACUGACGCUGAGGAGCGAAAGCGUGGGGAGCGAACAGG